rnacentral:rRNA from 1 species
AUUGAACGCUGGCGGCAUGCUUUACACAUGCAAGUCGAACGGCAACGAGGAGACUCUUGCUUCUCUGUCGGCGAGUGGCGCACGUGUGAGUAUAGCAUCGGAACGUGCCAAGUAGUGGGGGAUAACCAAACGAAAGUUUGGCUAAUACCGCGUAAGCUCCAAGGAGGAAAGUAGGGGACCUAAAUAAGGCCUUACGCUAUUUGAUCGGCCGAUGUCGGAUUAGCUAGUUGGUGGGGUAAUGGCUCACCAAGGCAAUGAUCCGUAGCGGGUCUGAGAGGACGAUCAGCCACACUGGGACUGAGACACGGCCCAGACUCCUACGGGAGGCAGCAGUGGGGAAUUUUGGACAAUGGGGGAAAGCCUGAUCCAGCCAUGCCGCGUGUAUGAAGAAGGCCUUAGGGUUGUAAAGUACUUUUGUUAGGGAAGAAAAGCUAGUUUUUAAUAAAAAGUAGUGAUGACGGUACCUAAAGAAUAAGCACCGGCUAACUACGUG